CCUACGGGUGGCUGCAGUGGGGAAUAUUGGACAAUGGGGGAAACCCUGAUCCAGCAAUGCCGCGUGUGUGAAGAAGGCCUUCGGGUUGUAAAGCACUUUCGGUUGGGAAGAAAAGUUUGGCGCCAAUACCGCCGAACCUUGACGUUACUGACAGAAGAAGCACCGGCUAACUCUGUGCCAGCAGCCGCGGUAAUACAGAGGGUGCAAGCGGUAAUCGGAAUCACGGAGCGUAAAGCGUGCGUAGGUUGUGAAAGCCCCCGGCUUAACCUGGGAACUGCAUUCGAUACUGCAUGGCUAGAGUAUGGUAGAGGGAAGUGGAAUUUCCGGUGUAGCGGUGAAAUGCGUAGAGAUCGGAAGGAACACCAAUGGCGAAGGCAGCUUUCUGGACUAAUACUGACACUGAGGCACGAAAGCGUGGGUAGCAAACAGGAUUAGAUACCCUAGUAGUC
rnacentral:rRNA from 1 species